rnacentral:lncRNA from 1 species
GCCAUCAUUUUGCAUUAGACCAUUUAUUUCUGUUAAGUGGUUAGUUUACCAGAAUGAAUCAGGACGUUAGUGUAUAUUUAAUAACAGGCGUCUAAAACUAUGUAAAGGCCCAUCUAGCUCACUGGCUAGUAGUUGAACCUAUCAUAGCGAGACAAUAUAACACAGAAUUAUUAUUAUUCAUUACAGUGAAGAAUAAAAUGAGACUUGUACACAUAGCAGUUCUUAUAGUCGUUUUAUUUGCUAAAAUUAAAUUAAUACAAACAUGGUUUUACGCUUCAUAUUUACACCUAAUGAAAACAAGGCAUACAAUAUCUUUAUAUCUCGCUCCUGACAUUGGUAUCCAAUAUACAAGCAAAAUAAUUCAAAAUUAACUGUUCCUGUCUUUAGAUGUCCGUAAGAAAUGCCUCUACACUCAAGGUCACAUUACAUGCUAUGAUUUAAAUCUGGAGCGCACAGUCCAUUUAGAAAGAUAAGUAACUACUUUCAUCAUCUCUAACCCAUCACUAUAUCCUGCCACUAACUGCUUUUGAAAAAAGUGUUCAAUAAAGUGUUAAAUUUCCUGUAAAUAGCAUAUUUGUAUUGCACAUGUGUUAAGUACUCUGUCUGCAGAAGAUCUCGUCCACACUCAUUUUUAUCAGUUUUUAUUAUGAAUCUUAUUAUUACAUAGACAUAGAGGCAUAUUAUCUGUUAGCCCUAUAGACAGUUUAAUUAGCACAAUGAAUACAUACUAUGCAGAUAUAUUUUACAUGAAAAAUAUUUCUGAAAAUAUAGGCCACUUUCUAUGGCUAGGGCAAUAAAAAAUAAUUAUAUUAAUAAAUGUCAUGAAAUAUUGGUCCCUGUGCAGAUAUAUUUGUUGCACAUGAUUCCUGUAUGUUGUAAGUGAAAGUCAAUACUGAUCAAUAGUGGCAGGCCUUUUCCAAGUAAAUUUAAUAUCACACAGUGGCUAUAAUUUGCAAUAUUAGUCACUAUCGCUGAUCUAAGGGAAUCACUGAUUUGAAAACAUCAACAGAACCAUAAAUAUAUUUUCUAAUGUUAUGUAUUUUCUGCUGCAUCUGCAAAUUAUUCCCAUAAUUUAUGUUAUUUUUUUUGUAAAACUACAUAUAUAUGGCUAUAAAUAUUGUCCAUAGUUCUGGGUUCCAGUAUUUCAAGUUCAAAUUCUUUUUAAAUGCUUGAUUGAUUUUCAUGCAGCUGUCCACUUCUAUGUCUACUUUCAAUCAAUAGCAGUUUGACUUAAGUGACUUAGGAAACAUCAAUAUGUCACUAUAAUUAUUGCAUUAAUCUUUCCAAUUAAAACAAUAACCACAUAGACUUCAAUUUAGUCAAGUACUUAAAAAAAUAAAAUUAAAAUUAAAUAAAAACUAAACCAGCAUCAGAUUUGUUACCAAGCAAGUUAAGUCCCAGACUGUCUCUGUCUCUAAGCAGUCUCUAGCUUUUAUAGCAAGAGGCAGAAUAUUGCCCGAGCUCACCUUGCAGAAAGGUUUUUAAAUAAAUAUAUUCAGUGUAGGUCAGUUUAUUGACUAGUCCAAAAUGGCAAAGACAGGGCAGUUGAGAUGGAAUGUGUCUGUUUUGCUGGAAUUCAAGAGGAAAAAUAAUAUUCAAGAUUCCUUGUGUCUCCUGGGUUGAUGCAGCAGUCACCCCUCCUCCCCCCUAAAAAAAAUAAUAAUAAAAAAAAAAAUGAAGAGGUAUAGUUUUGGGGUCCCUGGUGAGCUGCCCAGAUGUGCUAGCUCAAAGCAGUCUUGCAGUCAGGUGCGUGGGGUGUAAUGCAGUCCUACGUUGCUGCCCAGGCUGUUUGUACAAGGCUGUUCUUCCUUGUGCUGCAUAAUAUCUUCUGCUGUAACGUGCAACCUCUGAGAUCUAGAGGUUUAAUCUCCACACCCCUCAAGGUGUCUGCACCUUAAAAAUCAGGUCCUUCGCCCCAGCACCGUGCAGUGAUCUCAGCCCAGUGUAUAAUAAGCUCAGUUAGAUCAGACAGGCAGGGGGAUCUGCAGUGAGUCAGUGCCAGACAGGGCGAGGGGACAGGCUCAGCCAAGAUCACGUACUGAGGUUAGCGCAGGCUCUUUGACCAUGUGCACAGUAACAGCAGCAAUAUUCCACUGAGCUGCCCUAUGAAUAUAUGGCAGCCCCCACCCCCUGCUGGACGCUCAGAUCUGGGGAGCCUCUCAUCCUCCAGCCAGGAUGGGGAUUUGAGAAAAACUCCACUGCGAGAACAUUUAGCAC